UACGGAGGGAGCUAGCGUUGUUCGGAAUUAUUGGGCGUAAAGAGCUCGUAGGCGGCUUGUCACGUCGGGUGUGAAAGCCCGGGGCUUAACCCCGGGUCUGCAUUCGAUACGGGCUAGCUAGAGUGUGGUAGGGGAGAUCGGAAUUCCUGGUGUAGCGGUGAAAUGCGCAGAUAUCAGGAGGAACACCGGUGGCGAAGGCGGAUCUCUGGGCCAUUACUGACGCUGAGGAGCGAAAGCGUGGGGAGCGAACAGG
rnacentral:rRNA from 1 species